AACACUGUUAACCUGCGGUACCUGCGGAGGGAUCAUUACAGAGUGUUUAACCCCCUAUAAAAUGGUGGGUCUAACCUCCCGUCCUUUGCUGGGUCCCCCUUCUGGAGGACUUUCAAAACUUUCUGCUUCGGCGGGGUAUACCCGCCGGAACACCCUCAAAAAAUUCUUGAUCAAAAUGGUUCGGUCCGAGAAACUUUUUGUGCAAAUUAGCGAAAAACUUUCAACAAUGGAUCUCAGAUC
rnacentral:misc_RNA from 1 species